rnacentral:rRNA from 1 species
GAUGAACGCUGGCGGCGUGCCUAAUACAUGCAAGUCGAGCGAACAGACGAGGAGCUUGCUCCUCUGACGUUAGCGGCGGACGGGUGAGUAACACGUGGAUAACCUACCUAUAAGACUGGGAUAACUUCGGGAAACCGGAGCUAAUACCGGAUAAUAUAUUGAACCGCAUGGUUCAAUAGUGAAAGACGGUUUUGCUGUCACUUAUAGAUGGAUCCGCGCCGCAUUAGCUAGUUGGUAAGGUAACGGCUUACCAAGGCGACGAUGCGUAGCCGACCUGAGGGGGGUAUGGGCCAACGUGAAAGGGAGACGGGGCCAAGACCCGCGGGGGGGGCAGGGGGGGGGAAUUUUCCGAAAGGGGGAAAACCCACAGGGGGAAACGCCGGGGGGGGAGAAAGGGUUUUGGGAUGAAAAAACUUUUUUUUGAGGAAAAAAAAAAUGUGAAAGGAAAUUUCACCGUUUGAAGGGAACUAACCAAAAAGGCACGGCUAACCACGGG